AACGUAGGAGACAAACGUUAUCCGGAGUUACUGGGCGUAAAGAGCGUGUAGGCGGUCUGUUAAGUCUGGCGUGAAAGCUCUCGGCUAAACCGGGAGAGGUCGUUGGAUACUGGCAGACUAGAGGACGGUAGAGGCGUGUGGAAUUCCGGGUGUAGUGGUGAAAUGCGUAGAGAUCCGGAGGAACACCAGUGGCGAAGGCGACACGCUGGGCCGUACCUGACGCUAAAGCGCGACAGCAUGGGGAGCAAACGGG
rnacentral:rRNA from 1 species